rnacentral:lncRNA from 1 species
CAGGUACUGACUCCAUUCUAUCCCCUCAUUUUCACUGGCAUACACAAGGCUGUGCACAGACUGUCUGUGAUACACUGCUGCCUGUGAUGUUAGGAGUUGGCACUCUGCACUGCACUGUGAUGUCUCAAGAAGUUUCACAUCAGUGCCUGUCAUCAUGCAAAUUUAUUCUCAAUGGGAUUACUCGGAACUAUGCUGGUACUUGUUCCUGCUUGUGUAUCCAAGCUUGUCCCUCCCUGGGCUUUGCCAGCUUAGUUUCCCGGGAAAGAAGGAGCUGGAGACAUUGCAACAGACCCUGGACAAGGGAAAAAUGUUCUAAAGUUGGCCCUUGAAAAGUAAGGAUGAUAAAGAAAGCAAGACAACCAGUGAGGGAAGGGAGCAACCUGCGGAGGAAAAAGGUGGGGGAAGUAUUUUUCCAAAGUAAAAUGUAUAGAGCUUAGGCUGAAAUUUUCAAAAAUUAAAGCCCUGAUCAAAAAGUUU